rnacentral:rRNA from 1 species
AAAGCACUUUCAGUCGUGAGGAAGGUAGUGUAGUUAAUAGCUGCAUUAUUUGACGUUAGCGACAGAAGAAGCACCGGCUAACUCCGUGCCAGCAGCCGCGGUAAUACGGAGGGUGCGAGCGUUAAUCGGAAUUACUGGGCGGUAAAGCGCAUGCAGGUGGUUUGUUAAGUCAGAUGUGAAAGACCCGGGGCGUCAACCUCGGAAUAGCAUUUGAAACUAGGCAGACUAGAGUACUGUAGAGGGGGGUAGGAAUUUCAGGUGUAGCGGUGAAAUGCGUAGAGAUCUGAAGGAAUACCGGUGGCGAAGGCGGCCCCCUCGGACAGAUACUGACACUCAGAUGCGAAAGCGUGGGGAGCAAACAGGAUUAGAUACCCUGGUAG